rnacentral:rRNA from 1 species
AUUGAACGCUGGCGGCAGGCCUAACACAUGCAAGUCGAACGAGUGGCGGACGGGUGAGUAAUGUCUGGGAAACUGCCUGAUGGCGGGGGAUAACUACUGGAAACGGUAGCUAAUACCGCAUACCAUCGGAUGUGCCCAGAUGGGAUUAGCUAGUGGGUGGGGUAAAGGCUCACCUAGGCGACGAUCCCUAGCUGGUCUGAGAGGAUGACCAGCCACACUGGAACUGAGACACGGUCCAGACUCCUACGGGAGGCAGCAGUGGGGAAUAUGGCACAAUGGGCGAAACCCUGAUGCAGCCAUGCCGCGUGUAUGAAGAAGGCCUUCGGGUUGUAAAGUACUUUCAGCGGGGAGGCGUUACCCGCAGAAGAAGCACCGGCUAACUCCGUGCCAGCAGCCGCGGUAAUAC